UACGGAGGGUGCAAGCGUUGUUCGGAUUCAUUGGGCGUAAAGCGAGUGUAGGCGGUUUGACAAGUCGGAUGUGAAAUCCCGGGGCCCAACCCCGGAACUGCAUCCGAUACUGUCUGGCUAGAGUCCCGGAGAGGGUGGCGGAAUUCCCGGUGUAGGGGUGAAAUCCGUAGAUAUCGGGAGGAACACCAGUGGCGAAGGCGGCCACCUGGACGGUGACUGACGCUGAGACUCGAAAGCGUGGGUAGCAAAC
rnacentral:rRNA from 1 species